rnacentral:rRNA from 1 species
UACGCACUCCUACGGGAGCAGCAGUGGGGAAUAUUGCACAAUGGGCGCAAGCCUGAUGCAGCCAUGCCGCGUGUAUGAAGAAGGCCUUCGGGUUGUAAAGUACUUUCAGCAGUGAGGAAGGUGGGUAUGUUAAUAGCAUAUUCAUUUGACGUUAGCUGCAGAAGAAGCACCGGCUAACUCCGUGCCAGCAGCCGCGGUAAUACGGAGGGUGCGAGCGUUAAUCGGAAUUACUGGGCGUAAAGCGCAUGCAGGUGGUUUGUUAAGUCAGAUGUGAAAGCCCGGGGCUCAACCUCGGAAUUGCAUUUGAAACUGGCAAACUAGAGUACUGUAGAGGGGGUAGAAUUUCAGGUGUAGCGGUGAAAUGCGUAGAGAUCUGAAGGAAUACCGGUGGCGAAGGCGGCCCCCUGGACAGAUACUGACACUCAGAUGCGAAAGCGUGGGGAGCAAACAGGAUUAGAUACCCUGGUAG